UACAGAGGUCUCAAGCGUUGUUCGGAUUCAUUGGGCGUAAAGGGUGUGUAGGUGGCGCCGUAAGUCGGGUGUGAAAUUUCGGAGCUUAACUCCGAAACUGCAUUCGAUACUGCGGUGCUUGAGGACUGGAGAGGAGACUGGAAUUCCUGGUGUAGCGGUGAAAUGCGCAGAUAUCAGGAGGAACACCGGUGGCGAAGGCGGGUCUCUGGGCCGUAACUGACGCUGAGGAGCGGAAAGCAGUGGGGAGCGAACAG
rnacentral:rRNA from 1 species